rnacentral:rRNA from 1 species
UACGUAGGGUGCAGGCGUUGUCCGGAAUUAUUGGGCGUAAAGAGCUCGUAGGCGGUUCGUCACGUCGGCUGUGAAAUCCCGAGGCUCAACCUCGGGUCUGCAGUCGGUACGGGCGGACUGGAGUACUGCAGGGGAGACUGGAAUUCCUGGUGUAGCGGUGAAAUGCGCAGAUAUCAGGAGGAACACCGGUGGCGAAGGCGGGGUCUCUGGGCAGUAACUGACGUGAGGAGCGAAAAGCGUGGGGGAGCGAACAGG